rnacentral:rRNA from 1 species
CGGCGGACGGGUGAGUAAUGCCUAGGAAUCUGCCUGGUAGUGGGGGACAACGUUUCGAAAGGAACGCUAAUACCGCAUACGUCCUACGGGAGAAAGCAGGGGACCUUCGGGCCUUGCGCUAUCAUAUGAGCCUAGGUCGGAUUAGCUAGUUGGUGAGGUAAUGGCUCACCAAGGCGACGAUCCGUAACUGGUCUGAGAGGAUGAUCAGUCACACUGGAACUGAGACACGGUCCAGACUCCUACGGGAGGCAGCAGAC